GGCCGCGGGAAUUCGAUUCAGGCCUAACACAUGCAAGUCGAGCGGUAGAGAGAAGCUUGCUUCUCUUGAGAGCGGCGGACGGGUGAGUAAUGCCUAGGAAUCUGCCUGGUAGUGGGGGAUAACGUUCGGAAACGGACGCUAAUACCGCAUACGUCCUACGGGAGAAAGCAGGGGACCUUCGGGCCUUGCGCUAUCAGAUGAGCCUAGGUCGGAUUAGCUAGUUGGUGAGGUAAUGGCUCACCAAGGCGACGAUCCGUAACUGGUCUGAGAGGAUGAUCAGUCACACUGGAACUGAGACACGGUCCAGACUCCUACGGGAGGCAGCAGUGGGGAAUAUUGGACAAUGGGCGAAAGCCUGAUCC
rnacentral:rRNA from 1 species